CUUUUGGAGUGAGAAAGAAAGGAACAUCCCUGGAUUGUGCCCCUACCAUGUGCCACAGACCAGCUGCUAGAAGUGCAUUAUCUCAUCUAUGGAUGAUGUGGUACCAGCUGAGAGCAUCCUUCUGGCUGGUACCCUUGGCCCUCGGACACUGCGAGAUGAUAGGAGAACAAUGCCUGAGCCUGCUUUUCCACUUCAGCAGCCAGUCUUCCGGCCCAGCAAAUGAAAUAGCAGGUGGGUAGGCUUCUUUGGGGGCAUAUGAGAACUCUCUGGUCUAUAUUUUUAGUAUCACCUUAGGAACUUGGCACCUUGUUCCCUGCAGCCAGGUUGGUUUGACUUGGCAGGAAGGGAGGGAUGCUUGGGAAAGCACUCCCUGUUCACUGAGCCAAACCCUCAGAAGUCUCUUGAGCAGUAUUGGGGAGUGGCAGGAACUUAGAAAGAGGCUGGCUGGCUGACAACAAUAAGUGACGGCAUCUGUGGCAUGAUUUUACUGAUGCCAGGAAGUUCCCCUACUCCACGAUAUGCCACCCACACAGUCUAUCUUAUUUCCCUCCAUUGACUCAACUAAAUUCCAUUCAAUAUCGAUUAAGCAUGGUUAUGGACCAAGGCACUAUACUAUGUACUUGGAGGUUAAGAGACAUGAGUAAGUAUAAUUGCUAAGGCUUAGUGAAUGCUUAUCAUGUUCCAGGCACUAUUCUAGGCCACUUUGCCUAAAUACUCUCAUAUAACACCCACAAACCCUGUGAGGGAAUAACUAUCACUGUUUCCAUUUCACAGAUGAGAAAACUGAGACCAAGUCUAAGGUCGGUAAAUAACAGUGUGAGGAUUAAAACGUACAGUCUAACUGUAGAAUCAGGAUUCAUUAUGUGAAUGAUUCAGCAACUGCCCUAAUUAUCUUACUAUGUAGUUGGGAGAUAAAGACAUAUGAAAGUUGAAAGAUGACUAAAAAAGACAAGAGAAUUUUUGUGUCAGAUAUGUGUUCUGGGUAAUACAUUCAAUGAAGGGCUCGGAGGAUGAGGAAUCACUUUAGGUUGGAGUCGGAAAGAAUUCAUACAGAUGAUUCUGGGCUCCAUAGGGGUAGAUUUAAGCUGGAAAAUGAAGAUGGAUCAUAUUCUGACCAGCAGAGAGGAUAAAGAAGGGCAUGUGAGUAGAACAAGAAGCCUAGAAAAAUAGAAUGCCAGGGACAUUUGGAAAGUAGAGAUAAAAACAGCGGGAGAGGAAAAGGGGGGUCAAAUUGCAAGG
ensembl:lncRNA